UACGUAGGGUGCAAGCGUUAAUCGGAAUUACUGGGCGUAAAGCGUGCGCAGGCGGUUCUAUAAGACAGAUGUGAAAUCCCCGGGCUCAACCUGAGAACUGCAUUUGUGACUGUAGAGCUGGAGUGCGGCAGAGGGGGAUGGAAUUCCGCGUGUAGCAGUGAAAUGCGUAGAUAUGCGGAGGAACACCGAUGGCGAAGGCAGCCCCCUGGGCUGACACUGACGCUCAGGCACGAAAGCGUGGGGAGCAAACAGG
rnacentral:rRNA from 1 species